GUAAGCACUGUUCUACAACAACUAAAAACAUUGAUGUUAGCAUGUGAAGGCUAAGAAGGUUAUCAGAAGUAGUCAGCAUGGAUUCACCAAAGGGAAAUCAUGCUUACCCAAUCUGAAAACCUUCUAUGAUGGGAUGACUGGCUGGGUAGAUGAGGGAAGAGCAGUGGAUGUUGUCUACCUUGACUUCAGUAAGGCUUUCAACAAUAUCUUCCAUAACAUCCUCAUAGGCAAGCUCAGGAAGUGUGUGAUAUAUGAGUGGACAGUGAGACGGAUUGAGAACUCUCUGGAUGGCAGAACUCAGAGG